CGCGACACGAGCAGUCCGGUCCGCGUUCGAAAUUCCGCUGCUGUACUGUUACUGUGAAAUCGUUCCGCGUCAGCUGUUUGCAUGAGGUUACAACUGCAAACAGUACAAACAGAAUCAGCUGACGCGGAACGAUUUCACAGUAACAGCACAGCACCGGAAUUUCGAACGCGGACCGGACUGCUGUACCGCUGCUGGCGUUCCCUCUGGAACACACCCGAGGCCGGCGGCGCUGUCGGCGAGUGCAGCAAGUUGCGAAGUCGCUUACUCAACUCGAGCACGGGAGAUGGCGCCACGGGCUCUACGUCGACCUCGCGGAGUUCGCUCGAUGCCGUUUUCACGGCGGAAUUCUUCUCCUCGGGUCUCGACGGAACAGUAUCUAUGGAUUGAUACUGAUGAAGUAUACAGAAAAUCCACAUAUGCACAGGACGAAUUAAAAAUAGAUGCAGAAAACUUCGAUACUGAUUUGAAUGACAUACUACAAAGAAUGUCAAUAAAAGAUGAAACCUUUAUGUUAUGCGGUGUAGCAAAAUAUGUUCCUCCAUUAGAUUCCAACGGAAUUGGCCACUACUUAGCAUGCUGUUUAACAAAUUAUAACUGGGUGGAAAGAAAUGAUUUAGUUAAAUACAAUAAAAUUGUAUCACUUCAUCCAUCAAAAAUCAAAAUAAGUGGCAUAUUAUACGUCAAAAGUGUGCAUUUAAAAUAAUCUAACCUCUUGCAAAAAAAAAAAUGAAGAAGCAAGACCAAAAAGAAAUUUCUAUUAAGCUAAUUAUGAAAUUCACUUGAUUAUGAUCUCAUAAACUAUAUUUAUUUAAAUUAUUGUUAAAUACUUACGUCAUUACAAAGUAAACUUCCAAGCCAAGAGGAAGCAACUAACUAUUUUAAUAGGUGUUACUGACUAGUCACGGAAUCAUGGAGAUUUCAUCUUUCUGCUGAUUUGCUCCAAAAUUAUAUAGUCCGUGUUGAUUGGGCCUGUUUAAGCAUACAUACAUUUGAAAAAAAAAGAAAUGUAAAUAUUUAUUAAUAAAAUAGCUAUGUUUUAUGUUUUA